AGAGGCAAUAGCCUGUCUACAGGAAGUUUAGGCGGGGUUAGAAAUGGGCGUCCGAUGGGUAGUCAUUGAAGGAGAUGCACUCAAUGUUAUUUGAUGAGUAAAGGCAUUAAAAGAGGAUCGAUCAGUACUAUGUUCGUACAUACAGGAUAUACAAAUAUUAAGCAGAGGAUUUGAAGAGUGUCAUUUUCAGAAAUAUCUAGAUUUGGUAACAAGGUUGUUCAUGAACUUGUAAGAUGAGAAAUUGAAAGUCUAAGGAUUACCAACUUGGGACAUCAACUACCGAGGAAGGCCAUGUUAACACUAGAGAAAGAUGUGAGGAGUCUGGCAGCAUCAAAAGGAGACAAGAGGAUUGACAGACAUGGGGAACAGUUGUGAAAAUGAAGCAAGAAGUUGAAGGAAAUUUUUGUAGAUAAGGGCAAAAAUAAGAGUAAGGGGGAGCAUGGCAUAUGAAAAGACAGAAGAGGGGUUU
rnacentral:lncRNA from 1 species